rnacentral:rRNA from 1 species
GAGUUUGAUCCUGGCUCAGAUUGAACGCUGGCGGCAGGCCUAACACAUGCAAGUCGAGCGGAAACGGCAGUAUUGAAGCUUCGGUGGAUUUACUGGACGUCGAGCGGCGGACGGGUGAGUAACGGCUGGGAACCUGCCCUGACGAGGGGGAUAACCGUUGGAAACGACGGCUAAUACCGCAUAAUGUCUUAGAUUCAUUAGAGCUGGGACCAAAGGUGGCCUCUACAUGUAAGCUAUCGCGUUGGGAUGGGCCCAGUUAGGAUUAGCUAGUUGGUAAGGUAAUGGCUUACCAAGGCAACGAUCCUUAGCUGGUUUGAGAGGAUGAUCAGCCACACUGGGACUGAGACACGGCCCAGACUCCUACGGGAGGCAGCAGUGGGGAAUAUUGCACAAUGGGGGAGACCCUGAUGCAGCCAUGCCGCGUGUGUGAAGAAGGCCUUCGGGUUGUAAAGCACUUUCAGCAGUGAGGAAGGUCGUGUACUUAAUACGUGCACGGCUUGACGUUAGCUGCAGAAGAAGCACCGGCUAACUCCGUGCCAGCAGCCGCGGUAAUACGGAGGGUGCGAGCGUUAAUCGGAAUUACUGGGCGUAAAGCGCAUGCAGGCGGUUUGUUAAGUCAGAUGUGAAAGCCCGGGGCUCAACCUCGGAACCGCAUUUGAAACUGGCAGGCUAGAGUCUUGUAGAGGGGGGUAGAAUUUCAGGUGUAGCGGUGAAAUGCGUAGAGAUCUGAAGGAAUACCAGUGGCGAAGGCGGCCCCCUGGACAAAGACUGACGCUCAGAUGCGAAAGCGUGGGUAGCAAACAGGAUUAGAUACCCUGGUAGUCCACGCCGUAAACGCUGUCUACUUGGAGGUUGAGGUUUUAGACUUUGGCUUUCGGAGCUAACGCAUUAAGUAGACCGCCUGGGGAGUACGGCCGCAAGGUUAAAACUCAAAUGAAUUGACGGGGGNCCGCACAAGCGGUGGAGCAUGUGGUUUAAUUCGAUGCAACGCGAAGAACCUUACCUACUCUUGACAUCCAGCGAAGCCUUUAGAGAUAGAGGUGUGCCUUCGGGAGCGCUGAGACAGGUGCUGCAUGGCUGUCGUCAGCUCGUGUUGUGAAAUGUUGGGUUAAGUCCCGCAACGAGCGCAACCCUUAUCCUUGUUUGCCAGCACNUAAUGGUGGGAACUCCAGGGAGACUGCCGGUGAUAAACCGGAGGAAGGUGGGGACGACGUCAAGUCAUCAUGGCCCUUACGAGUAGGGCUACACACGUGCUACAAUGGCAGAUACAGAGGGCAGCGAGACAGCGAUGUUUAGCGAAUCCCUUAAAGUUUGUCGUAGUCCGGAUUGGAGUCUGCAACUCGACUCCAUGAAGUCGGAAUCGCUAGUAAUCGUGGAUCAGAAUGCCACGGUGAAUACGUUCCCGGGCCUUGUACACACCGCCCGUCACACCAUGGGAGUGGGCUGCACCAGAAGUAGAUAGCUUAACCUUCGGGAGGGCG